UGAGUUGGGUAAGCGAUCGCGUUCCGAGAGAUCGCCGCAGGGCGGGAUGCUGGGUAACCCCCAGGAGCGGCGACGCUAUGGAAAGUGCAACAGAAAGCAGACUACAACGCUUCCGCGUUGUACAGGUGAAACGGUGCGGUAAAAGCGUACCAGUUCCGAUGGUGACAUCGGAAGCUUGGUAAACCCCGUCUGGAGCAAGGUCAAAUAGGAGGAUGUGUGUAGGUGCGCCCGCCUAGUCCUCGGGUAUGACUGCUUGAGGUUGAUGGUAACAUCAAUCCUAGAUGAAUGAUCGCCGCCCUGAUGCGCGAGAGCAAUUCAGGGAACAGAAACCGGCUUAUUCCCAACUCAAGCC
rnacentral:RNase_P_RNA from 1 species